CUUGUAUCUCAACCUAAGAGCUGCAUACAGCAAGUGGAUCUUGUCACUUUUGGGAGGCUAUAGUUUUGCCCCUCAAAGUGAAUUUGGAGCUUCUACAUUC